GGGUUGUGAGGUUAAGCGACUAAGCGUACACGGUGGAUGCCCUGGCAGUCAGAGGCGAUGAAGGGCGUGCUAAUCUGCGAUAAGCGCCGGUAAGGUGAUAUGAACCGUUAUAACCGGCGAUACCCGAAUGGGGAAACCCAGUGUGACUCGUCACACUAUCAUUAACUGAAUCCAUAGGUUAAUGAGGCGAACCGGGGGAACUGAAACAUCUAAGUACCCCGAGGAAAAGAAAUCAACCGAGAUUCCCCCAGUAGCGGCGAGCGAACGGGGAGGAGCCCAGAGCCUGAAUCAGCAUGUGUGUUAGUGGAAGCGUCUGGAAAGGCGCGCGAUACAGGGUGACAGCCCCGUACACAAAAGCGCAUGUGCUGUGAGCUCGAUGAGUAGGGCGGGACACGUGGUAUCCUGUCUGAAUAUGGGGGGACCAUCCUCCAAGGCUAAAUACUCCUGACUGACCGAUAGUGAACCAGUACCGUGAGGGAAAGGCGAAAAGAACCCCGGCGAGGGGAGUGAAAAAGAACCUGAAACCGUGUACGUACAAGCAGUGGGAGCACCCUUUGGGUGUGACUGCGUACCUUUUGUAUAAUGGGUCAGCGACUUAUAUUCUGUAGCAAGGUUAACCGAAUAGGGGAGCCGGAGGGAAACCGAGUCUUAAUUGGGCGUUAAGUUGCAGGGUAUAGACCCGAAACCCGGUGAUCUAGCCAUGGGCAGGUUGAAGGUUGGGUAACACUAACUGGAGGACCGAACCGACUAAUGUUGAAAAAUUAGCGGAUGACCUGUGGCUGGGGGUGAAAGGCCAAUCAAACCGGGAGAUAGCUGGUUCUCCCCGAAAGCUAUUUAGGUAGCGCCUCGUGAAUUCAUCUCCGGGGGUAGAGCACUGUUUCGGCUAGGGGGCCAUCCCGGCUUACCAACCCGAUGCAAACUGCGAAUACCGGAGAAUGUUAUCACGGGAGACACACGGCGGGUGCUAACGUCCGUCGUGAAGAGGGAAACAACCCAGACCGCCAGCUAAGGUCCCAAAGUCAUGGUUAAGUGGGAAACGAUGUGGGAAGGCCCAGACAGCCAGGAUGUUGGCUUAGAAGCAGCCAUCAUUUAAAGAAAGCGUAAUAGCUCACUGGUCGAGUCGGCCUGCGCGGAAGAUGUAACGGGGCUAAACCAUGCACCGAAGCUGCGGCAGCGACACUGUGUGUUGUUGGGUAGGGGAGCGUUCUGUAAGCCUGCGAAGGUGGCCUGUGAGGGUUGCUGGAGGUAUCAGAAGUGCGAAUGCUGACAUAAGUAACGAUAAAGCGGGUGAAAAGCCCGCUCGCCGGAAGACCAAGGGUUCCUGUCCAACGUUAAUCGGGGCAGGGUGAGUCGACCCCUAAGGCGAGGCCGAAAGGCGUAGUCGAUGGGAAACGGGUUAAUAUUCCCGUACUUGGUGUUACUGCGAAGGGGGGACGGAGAAGGCUAUGUUGGCCGGGCGACGGUUGUCCCGGUUUAAGCGUGUAGGCUGGUUUUCCAGGCAAAUCCGGAAAAUCAAGGCUGAGGCGUGAUGACGAGGCACUACGGUGCUGAAGCAACAAAUGCCCUGCUUCCAGGAAAAGCCUCUAAGCAUCAGGUAACAUCAAAUCGUACCCCAAACCGACACAGGUGGUCAGGUAGAGAAUACCAAGGCGCUUGAGAGAACUCGGGUGAAGGAACUAGGCAAAAUGGUGCCGUAACUUCGGGAGAAGGCACGCUGACACGUAGGUGAAGUGAUUUACUCAUGGAGCUGAAGUCAGUCGAAGAUACCAGCUGGCUGCAACUGUUUAUUAAAAACACAGCACUGUGCAAACACGAAAGUGGACGUAUACGGUGUGACGCCUGCCCGGUGCCGGAAGGUUAAUUGAUGGGGUCAGCGCAAGCGAAGCUCCUGAUCGAAGCCCCGGUAAACGGCGGCCGUAACUAUAACGGUCCUAAGGUAGCGAAAUUCCUUGUCGGGUAAGUUCCGACCUGCACGAAUGGCGUAAUGAUGGCCAGGCUGUCUCCACCCGAGACUCAGUGAAAUUGAACUCGCUGUGAAGAUGCAGUGUACCCGCGGCAAGACGGAAAGACCCCGUGAACCUUUACUAUAGCUUGACACUGAACAUUGAGCCUUGAUGUGUAGGAUAGGUGGGAGGCUUUGAAGUGUGGACGCCAGUCUGCAUGGAGCCGACCUUGAAAUACCACCCUUUAAUGUUUGAUGUUCUAACGUGGACCCGUUACCCGGGUUGCGGACAGUGUCUGGUGGGUAGUUUGACUGGGGCGGUCUCCUCCUAAAGAGUAACGGAGGAGCACGAAGGUUGGCUAAUCCUGGUCGGACAUCAGGAGGUUAGUGCAAUGGCAUAAGCCAGCUUGACUGCGAGCGUGACGGCGCGAGCAGGUGCGAAAGCAGGUCAUAGUGAUCCGGUGGUUCUGAAUGGAAGGGCCAUCGCUCAACGGAUAAAAGGUACUCCGGGGAUAACAGGCUGAUACCGCCCAAGAGUUCAUAUCGACGGCGGUGUUUGGCACCUCGAUGUCGGCUCAUCACAUCCUGGGGCUGAAGUAGGUCCCAAGGGUAUGGCUGUUCGCCAUUUAAAGUGGUACGCGAGCUGGGUUUAGAACGUCGUGAGACAGUUCGGUCCCUAUCUGCCGUGGGCGCUGGAGAACUGAGGGGGGCUGCUCCUAGUACGAGAGGACCGGAGUGGACGCAUCACUGGUGUUCGGGUUGUCAUGCCAAUGGCACUGCCCGGUAGCUAAAUGCGGAAGAGAUAAGUGCUGAAAGCAUCUAAGCACGAAACUUGCCCCGA
rnacentral:rRNA from 1 species